UUUAUGAGUGAUCUUUGCAAU
rnacentral:miRNA from 1 species